GAUGAAGAACGUAGCGAAAUGCGAUAAGUAAUGUGAAUUGCAGAAUUCAGUGAAUCAUCGAAUCGUUGAACGCACCUUGCACCCUUUGGCAUUCCGAAGGGUAUGCUCGUUUGAGUGUCAUUGUACUCUCACACUCUCCGAUCCUAUGGAUUCGGGGAGCGGUGGACUUGGGUGUUGCUGCCUUUCCCUGUGGCUCACCUCAAAUGCGUCAGUGCACCUCUUGGUUGGACAUAGUACGGCGUGAUAAGUGUCUUCGCCGGCACCUCGCAAGAGGGUGGCCGAUCGGGAGCUCUGCGCUUUCAAACCGUCUUCGGACAAUUUCUGACAUCUUGACCUCAAAUCGAGUAGGACUACCCGCUGAACUUAAGCAUAUCAAUAAGCGGAGGA
rnacentral:misc_RNA from 1 species